CGGACGGGUGAGUAAUGCUUGGGAAUCUAGCUUAUGGAGGGGGAUAACUACGGGAAACUGUAGCUAAUACCGCGUAAUAUCGAAAGAUUAAAGUGUGGGACCUUCGGGCCACAUGCCAUAAGAUGAGCCCAAGUGGGAUUAGGUAGUUGGUGAGGUAAAGGCUCACCAAGCCGACGAUCUCUAGCUGGUCCGAGAGGAUGACCAGCCACACUGGGACUGAGACACGGCCCAG
rnacentral:rRNA from 1 species